GGUAGUAGAUCUAGCUAACCCAAAAAAUUUAUGUGAGUAUUAUAAAGUAUAUCAACUGAAAAUAAAGUUCUUCACUUAUGGUGUGUUUACUUCAUGGAAUAGGAAAUGUGAAUGAAUGAAUGAGAAUGAAACUCAUGUUUACUUGACAAAAUGUAAUUUGGUAAUGAGAAUAAAAUGUGUGGGUCUCACACAAUUUGGGAAUAAAGAAUGAGAAUCUCAUUUCCAUGGAGGGGUUGAGAAUGAAAAUGAGGGAAUGAGAAUGAAAUAUAUGUUUAUUUUUGUAUCCCUCUACUUUUUUCAUAUUUUCCAAAUUACCCUUAUUCAAAUCACAAUUAAUUUUAU
rnacentral:lncRNA from 1 species